GGGUUGUGAGGUUAAGCGACUAAGCGUACACGGUGGAUGCCCUGGCAGUCAGAGGCGAUGAAGGACGUGCUAAUCUGCGAUAAGCGUCGGUAAGGUGAUAUGAACCGUUAUAACCGGCGAUUUCCGAAUGGGGAAACCCAGUGUGUUUCGACACACUAUCAUUAACUGAAUCCAUAGGUUAAUGAGGCGAACCGGGGGAACUGAAACAUCUAAGUACCCCGAGGAAAAGAAAUCAACCGAGAUUCCCCCAGUAGCGGCGAGCGAACGGGGAGCAGCCCAGAGCCUGAAUCAGUGUGUGUGUUAGUGGAAGCGUCUGGAAAGGCGCGCGAUACAGGGUGACAGCCCCGUACACAAAAAUGCACAUGCUGUGAGCUCGAUGAGUAGGGCGGGACACGUGGUAUCCUGUCUGAAUAUGGGGGGACCAUCCUCCAAGGCUAAAUACUCCUGACUGACCGAUAGUGAACCAGUACCGUGAGGGAAAGGCGAAAAGAACCCCGGCGAGGGGAGUGAAAAAGAACCUGAAACCGUGUACGUACAAGCAGUGGGAGCACGCUUCGGCGUGUGACUGCGUACCUUUUGUAUAAUGGGUCAGCGACUUAUAUUCUGUAGCAAGGUUAACCGAAUAGGGGAGCCGAAGGGAAACCGAGUCUUAACUGGGCGUUAAGUUGCAGGGUAUAGACCCGAAACCCGGUGAUCUAGCCAUGGGCAGGUUGAAGGUUGGGUAACACUAACUGGAGGACCGAACCGACUAAUGUUGAAAAAUUAGCGGAUGACUUGUGGCUGGGGGUGAAAGGCCAAUCAAACCGGGAGAUAGCUGGUUCUCCCCGAAAGCUAUUUAGGUAGCGCCUCGUGAAUUCAUCUCCGGGGGUAGAGCACUGUUUCGGCAAGGGGGUCAUCCCGACUUACCAACCCGAUGCAAACUGCGAAUACCGGAGAAUGUUAUCACGGGAGACACACGGCGGGUGCUAACGUCCGUCGUGAAGAGGGAAACAACCCAGACCGCCAGCUAAGGUCCCAAAGUCAUGGUUAAGUGGGAAACGAUGUGGGAAGGCCCAGACAGCCAGGAUGUUGGCUUAGAAGCAGCCAUCAUUUAAAGAAAGCGUAAUAGCUCACUGGUCGAGUCGGCCUGCGCGGAAGAUGUAACGGGGCUAAACCAUGCACCGAAGCUGCGGCAGCGACGCUUAUGCGUUGUUGGGUAGGGGAGCGUUCUGUAAGCCUGUGAAGGUGUGCUGUGAGGCAUGCUGGAGGUAUCAGAAGUGCGAAUGCUGACAUAAGUAACGAUAAAGCGGGUGAAAAGCCCGCUCGCCGGAAGACCAAGGGUUCCUGUCCAACGUUAAUCGGGGCAGGGUGAGUCGACCCCUAAGGCGAGGCCGAAAGGCGUAGUCGAUGGGAAACAGGUUAAUAUUCCUGUACUUGGUGUUACUGCGAAGGGGGGACGGAGAAGGCUAUGUUGGCCGGGCGACGGUUGUCCCGGUUUAAGCGUGUAGGCUGGUUUUCCAGGCAAAUCCGGAAAAUCAAGGCUGAGGCGUGAUGACGAGGCACUACGGUGCUGAAGCAACAAAUGCCCUGCUUCCAGGAAAAGCCUCUAAGCAUCAGGUAACAUCAAAUCGUACCCCAAACCGACACAGGUGGUCAGGUAGAGAAUACCAAGGCGCUUGAGAGAACUCGGGUGAAGGAACUAGGCAAAAUGGUGCCGUAACUUCGGGAGAAGGCACGCUGAUAUGUAGGUGAAGCGACUUGCUCGUGGAGCUGAAAUCAGUCGAAGAUACCAGCUGGCUGCAACUGUUUAUUAAAAACACAGCACUGUGCAAACACGAAAGUGGACGUAUACGGUGUGACGCCUGCCCGGUGCCGGAAGGUUAAUUGAUGGGGUCAGCGCAAGCGAAGCUCUUGAUCGAAGCCCCGGUAAACGGCGGCCGUAACUAUAACGGUCCUAAGGUAGCGAAAUUCCUUGUCGGGUAAGUUCCGACCUGCACGAAUGGCGUAAUGAUGGCCAGGCUGUCUCCACCCGAGACUCAGUGAAAUUGAACUCGCUGUGAAGAUGCAGUGUACCCGCGGCAAGACGGAAAGACCCCGUGAACCUUUACUAUAGCUUGACACUGAACAUUGAGCCUUGAUGUGUAGGAUAGGUGGGAGGCUUAGAAGUGUGGACGCCAGUCUGCAUGGAGCCGACCUUGAAAUACCACCCUUUAAUGUUUGAUGUUCUAACGUUGACCCGUAAUCCGGGUUGCGGACAGUGUCUGGUGGGUAGUUUGACUGGGGCGGUCUCCUCCUAAAGAGUAACGGAGGAGCACGAAGGUUGGCUAAUCCUGGUCGGACAUCAGGAGGUUAGUGCAAUGGCAUAAGCCAGCUUGACUGCGAGCGUGACGGCGCGAGCAGGUGCGAAAGCAGGUCAUAGUGAUCCGGUGGUUCUGAAUGGAAGGGCCAUCGCUCAACGGAUAAAAGGUACUCCGGGGAUAACAGGCUGAUACCGCCCAAGAGUUCAUAUCGACGGCGGUGUUUGGCACCUCGAUGUCGGCUCAUCACAUCCUGGGGCUGAAGUAGGUCCCAAGGGUAUGGCUGUUCGCCAUUUAAAGUGGUACGCGAGCUGGGUUUAGAACGUCGUGAGACAGUUCGGUCCCUAUCUGCCGUGGGCGCUGGAGAACUGAGGGGGGCUGCUCCUAGUACGAGAGGACCGGAGUGGACGCAUCACUGGUGUUCGGGUUGUCAUGCCAAUGGCACUGCCCGGUAGCUAAAUGCGGAAGAGAUAAGUGCUGAAAGCAUCUAAGCACGAAACUUGCCCCGAGAUGAGUUCUCCCUGACCCUUUAAGGGUCCUGAAGGAACGUUGAAGACGACGACGUUGAUAGGCCGGGUGUGUAAGCGCAGCGAUGCGUUGAGCUAACCGGUACUAAUGAACCGUGAGGCUUAACCUUACAACGCCGAAG
rnacentral:rRNA from 1 species